GACGAACGCUGGCGGCGUGCUUAACACAUGCAAGUCGUACGGUAAGGCCCUUUCGGGGGUACACGAGUGGCGAACGGGUGCGUAACACGUGAGUAACCUGCCCACAACUUUGGGAUAACGCUAGGAAACUGGUGCUAAUACUGGAUAUGUGCUCCUGCUGCAUGGUGGGGGUUGGAAAGCUCCGGCGGUUGUGGAUGGACUCGCGGCCUAUCAGCUUGUUGGUGGGGUAGUGGCCUACCAAGGCGGCGACGGGUAGCCGGCCUGAGAGGGUGACCAGCCACAUUGGGACUGAGAUACGGCCCAGACUCCUACGGGAGGCAGCAGUGGGGAAUAUUGCACAAUGGGCGCAAGCCUGAUGCAGCAACGCCGCGUGCGGGAUGACGGCCUUCGGGUUGUAAACCGCUUUCAGCAGGGACGAAGCUUUUUGUGACGGUACCUGCAGAAGAAGCACCGGCUAACUACGUG
rnacentral:rRNA from 1 species